rnacentral:tmRNA from 1 species
GGGGGCGUAACGGGUUCGACGAGGAACAGGAGCUUGAGUAAGCGAGUAGCAAUGUGGAACUGCUUUAAAAGUCACAUUUUUCAAUUAAAUGGAAAAACAACUUAUGGUGAUAAACCAAAAAAUAAAAAAGGCAAGGUAGUUUUUGCUGAUUUCUCAGCAAGUAGAGCUAUUGCAGCCUAGUCUUAUAUAAAAGACGACGUCUUAAUGUAGACUACCGCGACUAUUUUAAGGCGACUAAUAGCGGUGAACGUGAAUCAAGAAGUUUCUCGGUCUUGGUCAUGCAAUAGAGAAUACCUAAAUCGUAAGAUUUCUAAUGAGCUUGCAUUUUAGGGAAAUAUAGAUCAUUAGAUACACUCGUAGAAAGCUUAUGUGAAUGUUUUUCGGACAGGGGUUCAAUUCCCCUCGCCUCCACCA